ensembl:miRNA Mir6327 microRNA 6327
AGAAGACACAGAGGAGCCUCGGUCACAGCAUGGUAGACUGCGAUGUCUGUAGUCCCGGCUGGGCAGGAAGUCUCCGGACUGUAGAUCCAUCUCCCACAGCUAGGCUGAGGAGUCUGUUCUGACUUGUGCUCAC